CGGAAAGGAGGGAAAAGUAAAGCAGGAGAGACAAACCUAUUCCGACGCCCCCUCGAGCUCGCCGCCUCGUCCUCCGCUAAGAGGGGCAGGUACCGCUAAAGCUCUGGAAGAGGGUGAGCUCGAACUAAAGAGAGGGGAAGGGGAAGCGAGGGGCCACAGCGCCAACCAACAAGGAGAGAGAGAGAGAGAGGGGCAGCGCGCGAACACAACAAGACGAGAACAAGCAGGGUCUAGAUCCAGUCAAGUACAGCGGGAGAGCGCGUACACCACGUCGGCGAUCUAACGAUCCGAAGACCAACAACACCAGCAGGGCGCGCGCGACGACAAACAUGACAACAUCAAACAUCUACGUCGCCGAAACAGGGGGAAAACAGACACCUCUACAUCGACAAGUACAUCUACUCUCCCGCUAGACAUCUACAAGGACAUCCACGAGCACAAGGACAUCUGCGCUCCCUAAGACAUCUACAAAGACAUCUACAAGGACAUCCACGAGUACAAGGACAUCCACUCUCCCGCUAGACAUCCACGAGUACAUGAACAUCGACGAGUACAAGGACAUCGACUACCCCUAAGACAUCUACAUCGAACCGCCUACAGACAUCAACAUCGUACGCCCUACAACAUCUACAUGACCAUCUACAGAUCGAGCAAGGACGAGCACAGCCCUACGAGGGACUACGAAGACGCACAAAAGGACGAGAACGGGGACGAGUACAUGACCAUCUACGAUCCACGAGCACAGUUCGAGAAAAAAACAUAAGUUUACUUAAUCCGAGGACUAAACAACAACCUCCACAUCAAGAGGAAACAUGGCACAAACAAAAAGAAGAUCGUCCUUACUUAAAAUUCAAAUUAAAGACACAUGAAAACCGAGCCGGGAAAAGUCACAACAGUUAACAAACUAGUCUAGAAAAGUCACAGCAGUGUCUGAAGGUCACAUUAUAGUCAAAACAUCAGAAUGUCCCCAUUAAAGAGGGUCAAACAUAUCACAUUAAUUGGGACUUAAAGAUCCCACUAAAAAUAACAUUAACGUCACAUCAAAAUACACAUUAAAAGGGUCUAAAAGUAACAUUGAAAUACAGUCAAAAUGACACAUUAAGUAGAGUCUAAAUGUCUGAAAUUCACAUAAAAUCGGCAAAAUUAAGGUGACACUAAAAUAGAGUAAACAACGUAACAUUACAUUAAACAGAGUCAGAACGUCGUAUUGGACAGGGUCUAAAAUACACAUUAAACUCACCUAAAAGAGUGUCACAUCAAGUAGGGUCGUAAAGCAUGAAAAUUCACAUUAUAUGAAUAAAUUAAGGUCACAUUAAAACCACCUAAAAUAUCACAUCAAGUAGGAUUGAAAUGUCACGUAACAUGGGUAAAUUAAGGUCAUAUUAAAAUCACCUAAAAGGUCACAUUAAACAAACAUCAAAGUCACAUUGAAUAAGAUUGAAAUGUCGGGUAAAUUAAAGUCAAAUUAAAAUCACCUAAAAUGUCACAUUAAACUAAACAUCAAAGUCACAUUAAAUAAAAUUGAAAUGUCACGUCACAUGGGUAAAAUUAAGGUGACAUUAAAAUCACCUAAAAGGUCACAUUAAACUAACAUCAAAGUCACAUUGAAUAAGAUUGAAAUGUCACGUUACAUGGGUAAAUUAAGGUCACAUUAAAAUCACCUAAAAUGUCACAUUAAACUAAACAUCAAAGUUACAUUAAAUAAAAUUGAAAUGUCACGUCACAUGGGAAAAAUUAAGGUCACAUUAAAUUCAGCUAAAAAGUCACAUUAAACUAACAUCAAAGUCGCAUUAAAUAAGAUUGAAAUGUCACGUCACAUGGGUAAAUUAAGGUUACCUAAAAAAUCACAUUAAACUAACAUCAAAGUCACAUUAAAUAAAAUUGAAAUGUCACGUCACAUGGGUAAAAUUAAGGUCACAUUAAACUCACCUAAAAAGUCACAUUAAACUAACAUCAGAGUCACAUUAAAAUACAAGGUAAAUGUCCAAAUUUACCCAUCCGAUGCCUUUCACAGAGUAGUCCUACAAGGUAAUCAUAGUAGAAAUCUCUCACGUCUAAGUGACCUACUUCGAAAACACGGAUUACUAAAACGUCUUCUACCAAGAGUAGGACACAGAGGCCUAGAUAGAGCUCUACUUCCUCUCAAGCUGUUCCGAGAAAACUUCAAGAUAGAGUUAGUUUUUCAUUUUACGAAUUUCUCCUUUGAUAGUAGACGAAGAUCCUCCUUACACUCCGUCUUUUCUAGAUGACUAAAGGGGUGAACACGGUGAAAGUGAUCUAUAAGACCCUUCAAGAAGAGACCACAACAACGACCUUACACAGGAUCCAUAGUCUUACAGUAGGUCUGUAUGCCGUACCCGACAGAGAAUUUGAAACAAUCCUGGCUCCAAGGGGAAUCCGAUCACUUCACCGAACGAUCAUCCAAACUACAGGGAAGUAGACUUAAGGUCAAGCUUUCCUUUAAAUAGGGUUACUGGUUCAUACUAUAGGUACUAUAGGAACUGGAGGGUCAUCUACCACUCGGUGAACACAGACUAGGACUCAGACCUGCACUAAAAUAGGACAGAGUGAAGUUACAAAGAUCAUAAGGAGGACAGAGAAAGAAGCGGUCGUUCGAAUUUAGGUGGCUUCAGCUCAACAGACUACUUCUGUAAAAGUAAACGAAGUACUAACAACGCAACAGGAGUAAGGAAACAGGGUUGAGAUCGGAGUCAGGAUCGGGCUUCAUGGACGUAUAAAAGUCCCUAACAAGAAGACACACGUUGAUACUAGACAGGCCUAUACAAAUACUCACCAACAACUCGUCGUAGUUUUUCAAGUUCUUAAGGUGAUUUCAACGAAGAUUUUCUAGUCGCUGCAGACCACCAACAGUGAUACGAAAACGACAAACAAUGGAACUGGUUGAAUUAAAGCCAGAGGUAAGACAGGGACUACAGUUCGGGGCCUAAGAUCGUACCUCUCCAUUGUUUCAAUUCGUUAAAAGUCUCGAACUGUCUUUGUUAUCGGCGAGAAUACCGUUCUCCGGAGAUUUCGCCAACAAACGAGAUCAAUUAGGCGUCUUCAGAUAGCUCUUUAGAAGUCGUUCGUUUCUACCACUACAAGGGGAAACGUCACUGUACGAAAAACUUUACUUACACGUCUUUAGGAAGCCACGAGCAAAACCCAAACUCCGACGAGUUCAUCAGUAUUUGGAACAAGUUAGAUCCUUGUUUCUGUUCGGGUUCGAUAAACUGUAAGAUCUUACGAAUAGUGAGAGAUGAGAUUUACGGUUUAGACAGGGCUGUGGAUUUCAAAUAAGUUCACUCCCAGUAAGAGAGUUGUUCAAGAGAAAACCGCGGUUCAGACAGAGAUAAGUUAGAAAGUAACUACUCUCCUUCACACUCUGAUAACAACUCUUUAGUAGAGGACUUCAGGUCGUCGUUUAGGGGUUAAACUUACUUCGAAGAGGAAAACAAAGACCACAACAAUCACAACCCCCAAAAGUGUUGGGUCAUCAAAAUAGAUCAAGUAGAGGUCGAGGAUUUCACACACUACUCCCGCACCGUUUACUCCGUUUACAACUUCGACGUUAAGGUCACCGCCUAAAUAGAAGAUAUUUUUCAGGAAGAGUAAGAUAUCCAUAUAGGGGAAGUUGCUGCGCCACACGUUAAGAACAACAACCAAAAUGAAACCUCGGGAGUCGACCAGAAUAAUUCUUUACGCUUGGGUUCCGGCUACUAUUACCAAAAGUUUCUGGGUGAAAACGAGUCAAUUUAGCGUGAGAACCACAAGUUAGAUUACCGCUACAAUGGUUACCACUCGGGUUACAAUUUCUCCAGCUAUUAAGAAAACCUCUUGGCAGGGGAGACCAAGGAUAAGCGAACAGCGUCGCAAAGGUAUUACGCCAACGUUCAACAAACACCAGGGACUACUGCUCCCCCAAACAAACAGGUCCAGCUUGCCCGUUCUACAAAUGGACUGGGCAAAUCUCCAAGCAAAAAACGAAAGACCACUAAAAGGACGAUCAUGUCCACAUUAGACAACUAACCUGUCUUUUAAACUGACAAAAACUUAACUUUUUGUCAGUCUACAGUUAAUCUGUCCCUCUAUAUAUAUUAGAAUGCAGAUGAUGUUCAAAUUUUGCCUUAGGUAGCUCUUAAAUGCACGGUAUGCCAUCCAUUGGGACUUGGGGUAUAUCAGAAUGUAGAAGCGCGAGCGGGACUUGGGGUAUAAGUCUCGUGGGAAUGUAGUACGC
rnacentral:rRNA from 1 species